rnacentral:tRNA from 1 species
GGGCAACUAGCUCAGUUGGUUAGAGCACAGCAUUCACAUUGCUGGGGUCACUGGUUCGAAUCCAGUGUUGCCCA